rnacentral:rRNA from 1 species
CCUACGGGAGGCAGCAGUGAGGAAUAUUGGUCAAUGGGCGCAAGCCUGAACCAGCCAAGCCGCGUGAGGGAAGACGGUACUACGUGUUGUAAACCUCUUUUGUCCGGGGGCAAACGCAGGUACGCGUCCCCGGCUGAGAGUACCUGAAGAAAAAGCAUCGGCUAACUCCGUGCCAGCAGCCGCGGUAAUACGGAGGAUGCGAGCGUUAUCCGGAUUUAUUGGGUUUAAAGGGUGCGCAGGCGGCCUGUUAAGUCAGCGGUAAAAGCCCGGGGCUCAACCCGGGAGAGCCGUUGAAACUGGCCGGCUGGAGAUGGAGAGAAGUACGCGGAAUGUGUGGUGUAGCGGUGAAAUGCUUAGAUAUCGUGCAGAACCCCGAUUGCGAAGGCAGCGUACCGG